rnacentral:lncRNA from 1 species
AGCGAAGACCAGAAACGAUAAAUCAUCCCCAGGUCACACAGGUAGGCGGUAACUCAAUCCUCUAGUGAGGGCACAUUGGGAGCCAGAGCUUCUGAUUCCUUUUCUUGUAGGAAACCACCAAUUGGCACAACAAAUUUUGCAGGUUUGUGCAAAGAGGGAACAGUGAACAGAAUCCCAAGAGAACAGAAGUCACACCCCAAAAUGCCCACAUGUGAGGUGCAACCCUUCUGAAGGGUAGAGAUCUUGUCCUUUUUCAUCCUCGAUCAUUUCAGCUACAUGAAAUGCAUCCAGAUGACACUAGCAGAGCACUGGCUUGAUUUAGAACGGAGCCACACACCUGUUCUUCUAAAUAUAAACAAAUUUGCAACCUGAGCCAUUGGCAGUCACUGCAGGGUAAGGGGGUGAGAGCUGGGGCCGGUGCUCGCCUGCAGGCUGGCUCUGGGCUUACACAAGGCCAAGGCUCUGGGCACAAGGGCCAAGGAUGCAGAAUGCCAGGCAGGAUAUUUGGAAUUGUGAUCUGGUGGUCACAGUGACCUUUUAUCUUGCCGGAGAGAUAAUAAUUAGCUUUAUUAUCCUUAUUGUUAUUUUUAAACGUGCUUAGUUCGCUCUUGUGGCUCAGCUUGUACCCAGCGUGUUGAAUGUUCCAGGUCUUCUUGGUUGAUAUGGAUGAACGUUGCCUGAGUUGCCAUGUUUGAAGAAAGCUUAUUCUAAAGGAAAUGGUUUGCUGAGAUCCAGAACACUAAUUUAAACCAUGGGGUAUUUUUAUUGUCUCUGUGAAGGCAACACUGUUUUGGAUUCUAGAGUUCCUGGCUAUUCAAAGUAUGUGACUACUCCCUCAUACUGUCAUGCCUCUUUCCAUUCUUGCUUAGAGGCCUUGCGAUCAUGCUGGAGUCCUUGGAAAUAUUCCAUAUUAUUCUUAACUGAUGGGAUGCUACAGAGGUCAUAUGGAUCGUCAUCUUGA